rnacentral:rRNA from 1 species
AACAGGAUUAGAUACCCUGGUAGUCCACGCCCUAAACGAUGUCAACUGGUUGUUGGGAGGGUUUCUUCUCAGUAACGUAGCUAACGCGUGAAGUUGACCGCCUGGGGAGUACGGCCGCAAGGUUGAAACUCAAAGGAAUUGACGGGGACCCGCACAAGCGGUGGAUGAUGUGGUUUAAUUCGAUGCAACGCGAAAAACCUUACCUACCCUUGACAUGCCAGGAAUCUUGCAGAGAUGUGAGAGUGCUCGAAAGAGAACCUGGACACAGGUGCUGCAUGGCCGUCGUCAGCUCGUGUCGUGAGAUGUUGGGUUAAGUCCCGCAACGAGCGCAACCCUUGUCAUUAGUUGCUACGAAAGGGCACUCUAAUGAGACUGCCGGUGACAAACCGGAGGAAGGUGGGGAUGACGUCAGGUCAUCAUGGCCCUUAUGGGUAGGGCUACACACGUCAUACAAUGGCCGGGACAGAGGGCUGCCGACCCGCGAGGGGGAGCUAAUCCCAGAAACCCGGUCGUAGUCCGGAUCGCAGUCUGCAACUCGACUGCGUGAAGUCGGAAUCGCUAGUAAUCGCGGAUCAGCUUGCCGCGGUGAAUACGUUCCCGGGUCUUGUACACACCGCCCGUCACACCAUGGGAGCGGGUUCUGCCAGAAGUAGUUAGCCUAACCGCAAGGAGGGCGAUUACCACGGCAGGGUUCGUGACUGGGGUGAAGUCGUAACAAGGUAACC